rnacentral:lncRNA from 1 species
UCAAAGGGAAUCAGAAUCAAAAGGACAAUGGGUGAAGAAUGAAACCCUAGAGCGAGAGAGAGAGAAGGGAGAAGCUAGUUAGAGAGAGGAGGGGAAAUGUGAGAGCUUCAAAAAGAAGAAAAGAAUGGAGAUUAGACUAGAGAGAGGGAGGUGACAGGGGCGAAAAAGGAGGGCACGCGAAUGGGAGGAGAAAAGGCAGGUCGAGAUUCAAGGUCCGUGAUGACGUAUUUUAGGGAAUGUGCUAUCGUAAGCUCCCCUUCUGCUUCCAGCUCGCAAGCCCUUUUACCGAGUGCGGGAAAGAAAGAGGGAGAGAGAAACCGCACCAGCAGAAUGGCA